AAUCUUCCACAAUGGACGAAAGUCUGAUGGAGCAACGCCGCGUGAGUGAAGAAGGGUUUCGGCUCGUAAAACUCUGUUGUUAAAGAAGAACAUAUCUGAGAGUAACUGUUCAGGUAUUGACGGUAUUUAACCAGAAAGCCACGGCUAACUACGUGCCAGCAGCCGCGGUAAUACGUAGGUGGCAAGCGUUGUCCGGAUUUAUUGGGCGUAAAGCGAGCGCAGGCGGUUUUUUAAGUCUGAUGUGAAAGCCUUCGGCUCAACCGAAGAAGUGCAUCGGAAACUGGGAAACUUGAGUGCAGAAGAGGACAGUGGAACUCCAUGUGUAGCGGUGAAAUGCGUAGAUAUAUGGAAGAACACCAGUGGCGAAGGCGGCUGUCUGGUCUGUAACUGACGCUGAGGCUCGAAAGUAUGGGUAGCAAACAG
rnacentral:rRNA from 1 species